UACGUAGGGGGCAAGCGUUGUCCGGAUUCAUUGGGCGUAAAGAGCGUGUAGGCGGCCAGGUAGGUCGGUUGUGAAAACUGGAGGCUCAACCUUCAGACGUCGACCGAAACCAUCUGCCUAGAGUCCGGGAGAGGAGAGUGGAAUUCCUGGUGUAGCGGUGAAAUGCGCAGAUAUCAGGAAGAACACCCGUGGCGAAAGCGGCUCUCUGGAACGGUACUGACGCUGAGACGCGAAAGCGUGGGGAGCGAACAGG
rnacentral:rRNA from 1 species